rnacentral:misc_RNA from 1 species
UCCGAUUUGUCACCGGCAGUCUCCCUAGAGUCCUCGGCUUCACCCGUUAGCAACAGCAGGCAAGGGUUGCGCUCGUUGCGGGACUUAACCCAACAUCUCACGACACGAGCUGACGACAGCCAUGCAGCACCUGUGUUGCGGUUCCCUUUCGGGCACCGAGGUAUCUCUACCCCGUUCCGCACAUGUCAAGGGUAGGUAAGGUUUUUCGCGUUGCAUCGAAUUAAUCCACAUAAUCCACCGCUUGUGCGGGUCCCCGUCAAUUCCUUUGAGUUUAAGCCUUGCGGCCGUACUCCCCAGGCGGUCAACUUCACGCGUUAGCUUCGUUACCAAGGAAUUACUUCCCCGACAACCAGUUGACAUCGUUUAGGGCGUGGACUAC